rnacentral:lncRNA from 1 species
GUGAGAUAGGGGAGGAGACAUGUGAGGGGAGAAGAAAGGAGAGAAGAGGUCAGGGAAGAGGGAGAAGAAGAGGUCAGCCCUCUUUGGUUAUUACCUGGGUCCGCUCUGCUUGCAAUUUCUAAUUUGAUAGUCUAAUUGAUUUUAGAUUUGGAUAGGGAUAAGGACGACCAACUGCCGCGCAGGACUAAUCCGGAGAAAGGAGAAUAAUGUUUGGCAAUCAACACCGGGAUGCUGUUUUGAGUGUUUGUAGUCCAAAAGCAGCUUUGCAAGCAGAGUGGCCAGGCAGC